AUGGUUUGGGAUAUAUUCUCAGUUAUUUACUCCUCUUUCAAUCCUCAUAAAAAAAACCAUCAGAAUUCGACCCCUCUAUGCAUACGAGUAAGACUUCUAAUCUCCGUCUUCUAUUUAGGCAUUAUGGCCAGUUAUGUUAUUAUAGGUUAAGUUGUAUACUAUUUAUCUGGUCUCUGAUCUAUAGCAAUAUGUAUUAUUUACUUUUAUUCAUCUAACAUGAUUUGAGGAUUCUUACUCUUCCUUGAUUUAAAAACAGUUAAAUGGAUGCAACAAACAUAUCCUUGCUAAGUGAACUUUAUGUUCUAACAAUGAUUCUACUAUAAAAGUCCAUAUCAUCAGACUGUGGAAGUAACCGGUCUACAAAAACCCAACCGCAACACUAUUUUAUAGGAUGGUCUUAAUAGAUGAGCAGGCUUGCCAAAUCAUGGAUUAGUACUAAAGGUCGGUGUUCCAGUAAUGUUGUUACUAAGAAAUAUUGAUAAAAAAAUGGUUUAUGCAAUGGAAGUCGGCUACAGGUCUUAUCAUUGCGAUUGUGGAAGCACAAAUCUCAUCUGGAAAUAAUAUUGGUGCUCGAACGUUUAUCCCGAGAUCUCGAUUAAUAUCGUCAUUUGGUUUAUGCAAUGUAACGUUUAUAAUGGAAAUAUUAUUAUAUCAUCAUUCGGUUUUAUUCAUCAAACCAUGUAACACACGGGGCUAUAAACUAGUAUCCUAAUAAAAGGUCCUAGAAUCUAAUCUAAUCUAUAUAUAUAUGAUAAUAGAUGAAGUGAAUGAACAGUGACACAUAGAUGGUUGGCAAUAUUCUAUUGGACCACAUUUUUUUACUACGUGUUUUUUUUACAUGCCCUGAGUUGCCACGCAUCAGUUCAAAUCACCUACAUAAAAACCCACCGCCACUGCAGAUGAAAACCGAGAGAGAACUGAAGCGGCAAAAGAGUGAUAGAGAGGGGGUAAGGCAUGUGUCUUUUCACCCACGUGUCAAGAAGCCCAAGCCCUUUACUAAAUACGCUUUCAGAAUCCAUAUUCCAGAAAAGAGAACCUGAGGAAAGGAGGGUCUGCUAUAUACAGAGAGAGAGAUAGACGGAGUAGGCCUCCGGCGGCAGCAACGAUGGUUAAACGGUCCGAAUGAUGGUGGAUUCAAUUGACAUUAGGGUUCAGGUGUUUAGAAACUGCGAUGAUGGUGGAUCUGAGUAUUGAACACGGUGACGUUUGUUAGGGUUCCGCCGUACACGGCGGAGGAGAUGGUGGGUCACCGGCGACAUCAUGGAGAUCCGCUGAAGAAUCAGGAACCGGAACUCCGGUGGAUCUGAGGUACGCGAUCAGCGACAUCAUGAGAUCCGCUGAUGAACCAGGAACCCGAACUCCGGUGGAUCUGGUGACUGAGGUCAUAUUAUGGACAGAGGAGAAAGGACGCAAAGAAGAGAGACGGAAGGCGGAAGUUCAACCCAAAAUCUUUGAAAGAGCUGAAGGAAACAUGUUUUGAUUCUGCUUUUGCAAUUUUUCGGAGUUGGAUGCUAUAUUAAUCAUAGGUAGCGUUAAUGUGGGAUGUUUGGUGGGGAUCUUUGUUGUUGGUACGAGUGAAGGUCAAAACCUUACACCAUUAUAGAUCACAUUACUCAUCUAUUUCAUCACCCAUAACCUUAAUUUUGAUGUUAUUGUCAUAUUUGAAGCUCCAAUCCACUGUGUUUGGAGCAGCCUUAGAAUAGGAAAUCUUCAUUUUUACAGUUGGUUUUUGUUUAUGUUUAUGGGUUUCUAAUUGAUGAUACUAUUAUAGUUCAGGAAAUGAUUUGCUUGGUUUGUUGAUUAUGCAUAAAGUCUCAUGCAUAUAGUAUUCAGCCCAUCAAAGCUACUGCCAAGCCACACCUUGUAGUGUUUUGACGCAAAACUUUCACGUGCAACGCUAAGAUAAUAGAAAUUCUGACAAGGAAAAAUUGGUAUUAGAAUGCAUGGCCAGGUUGCUUGAAAACAAUAUACAAAAACUGGGACCAGAUGAGGAUACCCAACGGAUGGAAAAGGUGACACUCCCAAAUGCAUAUGAGGGCAUCAACAAUACGAAGAAGACCAUGUACCAAGAUGCCUGAAUCAUAAGGAAAUCGAAUCUUUCGAAAGCUAAGAAAAAUACUGUUGCGAUGCAUGUUGACAAUUAUGUACUUAGAAUAUGUUUAAACCUGGCUAUCUUUUGUAAAACAUUAAAUACUAUAAGUAGUUUUAUGUACUAAUUUGGUUAAAAUUAACUGCCUUUUGUAAAACAAAAUCUGUUGCUACAAGUAGUUUAAAACCACACUCAUCUACAUAGAAUUUACGUGCACAACAACGCGAAUUGUUA
rnacentral:lncRNA from 1 species